rnacentral:lncRNA from 1 species
GAUCCCUCCCAUUUCAAUCCCUAUUUGGGUCCGGCUGUUUUGCCAAAAGUGAAGUUUUUUAGAUGAAUUAAAGUUCAGGUAAAAGUUAUUUUCUUUUUUCUGAUUGUUUUUAUAGCUGUGGAACUAAAAUUCCUAUAGUUUUACUGUUUGUUUGGUAGAAAGUUAAUAGCGUAAAAGCUGAAAGUGUACGAUAUUAGUUAUUUCAUUAUUAUUUUACUGACUCUUUCUUCGUAAUUGAUUUCGACCCUUGCAGUGGGCUGAAGUUAAUUACGCUAUUUUGAAAAAAUUGAGCUACUAUACUGAAGGUGAAGUUGCAGUAUACCAUAUAACAGAAGUAUUUACGAUUAAAAACUGCUUCAUUCUCUUUUACUUUUGGUGAGAUAAACAUAUUCUAAGAGUUAUUUGGAAUUGCGAAAAAAUAUAUUAUGUAUAUGAGAAAGUACGAAAAAGGAAUUUUAUAUUUAUUUUGGUAAAAUAUUUUUUUGGUUAUAAUAUAAUAAAGGUA